UGGCCAAAAUAGACUGCACGGGCAGCACC
rnacentral:piRNA from 1 species